UUUUAUUUCAUCAACUUUGAAAAAUCACUAAAAAUAGUAAACAUGUCCAAUUUGAUCCAAUUUUUUUUCCACAUGUUUUUUUUUUAUGUCUAUUAUUUUGUGAUGUUAAUUUCCUGAUUUUUGUGUUGCUGGAUUUUCAAUUGUGCUUGAUUGUUUGAACAUGAUGCCAAUUUGCUAUGUUGUGCUAUUUGUUUUAUGACAUGCUUAUCUUUAAUCCAAUUUCUUUGAAAUUUGACAUGCUUAUUCAUAACAUGUGACAUGAUUUUUUGGAUUUUGUUUGGC
rnacentral:lncRNA from 1 species